ACCUGAUCCCAUCUCGAACUCAGAAGUGAAAAGUGUCAUCGCCGAUGAUAGUGUGGGGAUUCCCCAUGUGAAAGUAGGUCAUCACCAGGU
rnacentral:rRNA from 1 species